rnacentral:lncRNA from 1 species
GUGCUUUUUUUUAUUCAGCCGUAGGUGCUUAUUAAGCUCAUUUGCAAAAAAGGUUCUUAUUAAGCUCCUGUGAAUUGCCCAAACAAUUGAGACCGUGCUUUUUUCGCUACUUUUUUUUUGGAUGACUCGUACAUGGUAGCUAGCGACUUUUCUCCUACAACACCCACGAAUUGAGCGUGCCCUUGUCGCUGCUUUUUUUUUCCUUUUUAAUUGACCGCACUUGUCAUUGCUCUUUUUUCUCUACCGCACUUGCCAUUCC